GAUGAAGAACGUAGCGAAAUGCGAUAAGUAGUGUGAAUUGCAGAAUUCAGUGAAUCAUCGAAUCUUUGAACGCACAUUGCGCCCGCCAGUAUUCUGGCGGGCAUGCCUGUUCGAGCGUCAUUUCAACCAUCAAGCCCCCGGGCUUGUGUUGGGGACCUGCGGCUGCCGCAGGCCCCGAAAACCAGUGGCGGGCUCGCUGUCACCCCGAGCGUAGUAGUUUACACCUCGCCCAGGGCGUGCCGCGGGUUCCCGGCCGUUAAACCCCCCCAUACCACAAGGUUGACCUCGGAUCAGGUAGGAAGACCCGCUGAACUUAAGCAUAUCAAUAAGCGGAGGA
rnacentral:misc_RNA from 1 species